rnacentral:rRNA from 1 species
UGACGGUAUCAUAUGAAUAAGCACCGGCUAACUCCGUGCCAGCAGCCGCGGUAAUACGGGGGGUGCAAGCGUUACUCGGAAUCACUGGGCGUAAAGAGCAUGUAGGCGGGUGAAUAAGUUGGAAGUGAAAUCCUAUAGCUUAACUAUAGAACUGCUUCCAAAACUGUUCACCUAGAGUAUGGGAGAGGUAGAUGGAAUUUCUGGUGUAGGGGUAAAAUCCGUAGAGAUCAGAAGGAAUACCGAUUGCGAAGGCGAUCUACUGGAACAUUACUGACGCUCAGAUGCGAAAGCGUGGGGAGCAAACAGGAUUAGAUACCCUGGUAGUCCACGCCCUAAACGAUGUACACUAGUUGUUGCUAUACUAGAUAUGGCAGUAAUGCAGUUAACACUUUAAGUGUACCGCCUGGGGAGUACGGUCGCAAGAUUAAAACUCAAAGGAAUAGACGGGGACCCGCACAAGCGGUGGAGCAAGUGGUUUAAUUCGACGAUACGCGAAAAACCUUACCUGGCCUUGACAUAGUAGGAAUCUUUAAGAGAUUAGAGAGUGCUAGCUUGCUAGAACCUACAUACAGGUGCUGCACGGCUGUCGUCA